UAGUUCUGGGAGGUGAGUAUAAAUGUUGUUUCGACUCUUUCCUUAUGAAAUAUGAAUAGAAUUAUUUUAGAUAAAUAUAAAAAAUUCCUAAAAUGUUUUAGAAUAUAUGCAAGAAGUAGUAGGUUUGCUGGGUAUGUUAUUUUGGUAUGUUUUGCAGGCUGCUCUUGUGCAUUAUUGUGAGAGCUGGCUAAAGAGUAUCCUUCCUCCACUGUCACGGUGCUGGAUCUCCCGGCUGUGGUCCAAACCACUCAGCAGCAUUUCGACCAGCAAGAGGACACCAUCUGUUUCCAAGAGGGAGAAAUCCCUCCUGCAGACUUAUACAUUCUGGCACGGAUCAUUUAUGACUGGAAGGAGGAAAGAAAAAGUUCCAACUAUUGAAGAAGAUUCAUACAGCAUGUCAUCCAGGUGGAGGCGUUCUGAUCGCAGAUGCACUGUUGUUUGAGAACCGCUGCGGUCCAGCUGUGGUUCAGAUGUUUUCUCUGAACCUGCUGGUCCAGUCUAGCCUCUCAUUAUAAACAUCUGCUUACCGAAGCAGGAUUCAGAGAAGGUCUGUCAGACUAGAAAAUGCUAUUUUGGCACUCAAAUGAAUAUGCACACAUGUAUUCAUGUAAGCAUUGUCAGUAAUCAGAACCCUUCUGCCGUAUCUGCAGACACGGGAGUAAUCAUAUUCAUGCACAUGUCAGACAUCUGUUGUUCCACCUUGGCCUUGUUUUGUUAAGUUAUAAAGCAUUUUAUUUCUCCAUCAGAGAAUGAGCCCACUCCUGAUCCUUAUGAUUCCUUCAAAAGGCUGUUUUAGCAUCAAUUCGUUUUAGUUAUUUGUGAACUUGGCUCCUGAGGCCUACCAGAUGUAGUCUGGCCAGUGGUGUGUCAAAAUAAACUCCUCCCUCGUUCUCACCUUGUGUAUCUAGGUUGUCUUGACAAUUGGUUAAGUAUGACCCCUUGUGGUUAUUGGUUGA